GACGGGACCCGCACAAGCGGUGGAUGAUGUGGAUUAAUUCGAUGCAACGCGAAAACCUUACCUACCCUUGACAUGUCCGGAAUCCCGAAAAGAUUUGGGAGUGCUCGCAAGAGAACCGGAACACAGGUGCUGCAUGGCUGUCGUCAGCUCGUGUCGUGAGAUGUUGGGUUAAGUCCCGCAACGAGCGCAACCCUUGUCAUUAGUUGCCAUCAUUUGGUUGGGCACUCUAAUGAGACUGCCGGUGACAAACCGGAGGAAGGUGGGGAUGACGUCAAGUCCUCAUGGCCCUUAUGGGUAGGGCUUCACACGUCAUACAAUGGUCGGUACAGAGGGUUGCCAACCCGCGAGGGGGAGCUAAUCCCACAAAGCCGAUCGUAGUCCGGAUCGCAGUCUGCAACUCGACUGCGUGAAGUCGGAAUCGCUAGUAAUCGUGGAUCAGCAUGUCACGGUGAAUACGUUCCCGGGUCUU
rnacentral:rRNA from 1 species